GGAAUUUUGGACAAUGGGCGCAAGCCUGAUCCAGCAAUGCCGCGUGAGUGAAGAAGGCCUUCGGGUUGUAAAGCUCUUUUGUCAGGGAAGAAACGGUGAUCUCUAAUAUAGAUUGCUAAUGACGGUACCUGAAGAAUAAGCACCGGCUAACUACGUGCCAGCAGCCGCGGUAAUACGUAGGGUGCAAGCGUUAAUCGGAAUUACUGGGCGUAAAGCGUGCGCAGGCGGUUUUGUAAGACUGUCGUGAAAUCCCCGGGCUCAACCUGGGAAUGGCGAUGGUGACUGCAAGGCUAGAGUUUGGCAGAGGGGGGUAGAAUUCCACGUGUAGCAGUGAAAUGCGUAGAUAUGUGGAGGAACACCGAUGGCGAAGGCAGCCCCCUGGGUCAAAACUGACGCUCAUGCACGAAAGCGUGGGGAGCAAACAGGAUUAGAUACCCUGG
rnacentral:rRNA from 1 species